rnacentral:rRNA from 1 species
UAGCCGUAAACGAUACUCGCUAGGUGUCGGCCACGGUGCGACCGUUGUCGGUGCCGUAGGGAAGCCGUGAAGCGAGCCACCUGGGAAGUACGGCCGCAAGGCUGAAACUUAAAGGAAUUGGCGGGGGAGGCACCACAACGGGUGGAGCUUGCGGUUUAAUUGGAUUCAACGCCGGAAAUCUUACCGGGACCGACAGCAACAUGAAGGCCAGGCUGAAGACUUUGCCGGAUUAGCUGAGAGGUGGUGCAUGGCGUAGACGUCU